rnacentral:rRNA from 1 species
GCUCCAAUAGCGUAUAUUAAAGUUGUUGCAGUUAAAAAGCUCGUAGUUGAAUUUUGGGCCUGACUGCACGGUCCGCCUAACAGCGAGUACUGUGUGGUUUGGCCUUCCUUCUGGCUAUCUAGUCUGCUCUUUACUGGGUGGGUUAGAGAACCAGGACUUUUACUUUGAAAAAUUAGAAGUGUUCAAAGCAGGCUUACGCU